UCAAAGCCCACCCAGCAUGGAGCAUGGAUCCUACAUCUUGAUGGAAGAAUACCCAAGUUACAUUUUAAGAAAAGCAGGGAACUUAACAAAUAUGUGGUACCUGAGACUGAAGGACAGAAAACUUUCAACAUGAAGAAAUGACAGAGGGAGCACACCAGGAAGAGACAGAAGUGCAUGAACAAAGUAUAGAGGUACAUCCUCAUCUGUGCAGAAAGACAUUUUUGUCUAAGGAUGUUCCUUACACCCACAAGUACUCCAUGCAUUUGAAUUUCUAUUCUUCCUUCAUGAAUGCCUAUUGCUUUUUAACACUAAAAUUGUAAUAGUUAAUUAAGCUUUCAAAUGUGUCCAAAUAUGAGUUAGCCAGACCUCAAUAAAGGGAAUGAACGACC